GUGGGGAAUAUUGCACAAUGGGGGAAACCCUGAUGCAGCGACGCCGCGUGAGCGAAGAAGUAUCUCGGUAUGUAAAGCUCUAUCAGCAGGGAAGAUAAUGACGGUACCUGACUAAGAAGCUCCGGCUAAAUACGUGCCAGCAGCCGCGGUAAUACGUAUGGAGCAAGCGUUAUCCGGAUUUACUGGGUGUAAAGGGAGCGUAGGCGGUAUGGCAAGUCUGAUGUGAAAGGCCGGGGCUCAACCCCGGGACUGCAUUGGAAACUGUCACACUUGAGUGUCGGAGAGGUAAGUGGAAUUCCUAGUGUAGCGGUGAAAUGCGUAGAUAUUAGGAGGAACACCAGUGGCGAAGGCGGCUUACUGGACGACAACUGACGCUGAGGCUCGAAAGCGUGGGGAGCAAACAGGAUUAGAAACCCUAGUAGUCC
rnacentral:rRNA from 1 species